rnacentral:rRNA from 1 species
ACGAAGUAGCAAUACUUAGUGGCAGACGGGUGAGUAACAUGUAGGUAUCUACCCUUUGGCCUGGAAUAACACGAGGAAACUUGUGCUAAUACCAGAUAAGUCUUUACGGAGAAAGCUUUAUGCACCAUUGGAUGAGCCUGCACUUGAUUAGUUAGUUGGUGGGGUAAUGGCCUACCAAGACAUUGAUCAAUAGCUGAUUUGAGAGGAUGAUCAGCCACAUUGGGACUGAGACACGGCCCAAACUCCUACGGGAGGCAGCAGUGGGGAAUCUUGCACAAUGGAGGAAACUCUGAUGCAGCGAUGCCGCGUGAGUGAAGAAGGCCUUUGGGUUGUAAAGCUCUUUCGUCGGGGAAGAAAACGACUGUACCCGAAUAAGAAGGUCCGGCUAACUUCGUGCCAGCAGCCGCGGUAAUACGAAGGGACCUAGCGUAGUUCGGAAUUACUGGGCUUAAAGAGUUCGUAGGUGGUUGAAAAAGUUGGUGGUGAAAUCCCAGAGCUUAACUCUGGAACUGCCAUCAAAACUUUUCAGCUAGAGUUUGAUAGAGGAAAGCAGAAUUUCUAGUGUAGAGGUGAAAUUCGUAGAUAUUAGAAAGAAUACCAAUUGCGAAGGCAGCUUUCUGGAUCAUUACUGACACUGAGGAACGAAAGCAUGGGUAGCGAAGAGGAUUAG